rnacentral:rRNA from 1 species
GCCCUUAGAGUUUGAUCAUGGCUCAGGAUGAACGCUAGCGGCGCGCUUAAUGCAUGCAAGUCGAGCGAUGAGGUCUCUUCGGAGGCCAUCAGCGGCAGACGGGUGAGUAACACGUGGGUGACCUGCCCCGAAGACGAGGAUAACGGAUGGAAACAUGCGCUAAUACUCGAUAGACUCUCAGGGCCGAAGCUGAGAGUAAAGCUCCGGCGCUUCGGGAGGGGUCCGCGGCCUAUCAGCUAGUUGGUAGGGUAACGGCCUACCAAGGCAAUGACGGGUAGGGGGUGUGAGAGCAUGGCCCCCCACAAUGGGACUGAGACACGGCCCAUACUCCUACGGGAGGCAGCAGCAGGGAAUCUUGCGCAAUGGACGAAAGUCUGACGCAGCGACGCCGCGUGGAUGAAGAAGGCCUUCGGGUUGUAAAAUCCUUUUCAGGGGGAAGAGGAAGGACGGUACCCCUGGAAUAAGCGUCGGCUAACUACGUGCCAGCAGCCGCGGUAAGACGUAGGACGCGAGCGUUAUCCGGAUUUACUGGGCGUAAAGCGUCUGUAGGCGGUCGUGUAAGUUGGACGUGAAAGUUCCGGGCUCAACUCGGAGAGGUCGUUCAAUACUGCAGGACUAGAGGUCAUCAGAGGGGCGUGGAAUUUCCGGUGUAGCGGUAAAUUGCGUAGAUAUCGGAAGGAACACCAGUGGCGAAGGCGGCGCCCUGGGGUGGACCUGACGCUAAGAGACGAAAGCUAGGGGAGCGAACAGGAUUAGAGACCCUGGUAGUCCUAGCCCUAAACGAUGGAUGCUAGGUGUGGGAUCGACAGGUUCCGUGCCGGAGUUAACGCGUUAAGCAUCCCGCCUGGGGAGCACGGCCGCAAGGCUAAAACUCAA